rnacentral:rRNA from 1 species
GACGAACGCUGGCGGCGUGCUUAACACAUGCAAGUCGAACGGAAAGGCCCUGCUUUUGUGGGGUGCUCGAGUGGCGAACGGGUGAGUAACACGUGAGUAACCUGCCCUUGACUUUGGGAUAACUUCAGGAAACUGGGGCUAAUACCGGAUAGGAGCUCCUGCUGCAUGGUGGGGGUUGGAAAGUUUCGGCGGUUGGGGAUGGACUCGCGGCUUAUCAGCUUGUUGGUGGGGUAGUGGCUUACCAAGGCUUUGACGGGUAGCCGGCCUGAGAGGGUGACCGGCCACAAUGGGACUGAGAUACGGCCCAGACGCCUACGGGAGGCAGCAGUGGGGAAUAUUGCACAAUGGGCGGAAGCCUGAUGCAGAAACGCCGCGUGCGGGAUGACGGCCUUCGGGUUGUAAACCGCUUUAGCCUGUGACGAAGCGGGAGUGACGGUAAUGGGUAAAGAAGCACCGGCUAACUACGUG